AACGUAGGUCCCGAGCGUUGUUCGGAUUCACUGGGUGUAAAGGGCGCGUAGGUGGUUGUCUGUGUCUCAUGUGAAAACUCAGGGCUCAACUCUGAGAUUGCGUGGGAAACUAGGCAGCUAGAGGACGGUAGAGGGGAGUGGAAUUCCCGGUGUAGCGGUAAAAUGCGUAGAUAUCGGGAGGAACACCGGUGGCGAAGGCGGCUCUCUGGGCCGAUCCUGACGCUGAGGCGCGAAAGCUAGGGGAGCGAACCGGAUUAGAUACCCGGGUAGUCCUAGCCGUAAACGAUGGGUGCUAGGUGUUGGGGGGUAAAGACCCUUCAGUGCCGAAGCCAACGCGAUAAGCAUCCCACCUGGGGAGUACGGCCGCAAGGUUGAA
rnacentral:rRNA from 1 species